GAUGAACGCUGGCGGCGUGCCUAAUACAUGCAAGUCGAGCGAACAGACGAGGAGCUUGCUCCUCUGACGUUAGCGGCGGACGGGUGAGUAACACGUGGAUAACCUACCUAUAAGACUGGGAUAACUUCGGGAAACCGGAUCUAAUACCGGAUAAUAUAUUGAACCGCAUGGUUCAAUAGUGAAAGACGGUUUUGCUGUCACUUAUAGAUGGAUCCGCGCCGCUUUAGCUAGUUGGUACGGUAACGGCUUACCAAGGCAACGAUGCGUAGCCGACCUGAGAGGGUGAUCGGCCACACUGGAACUGAGACACGGUCCAGACUCCUACGGGAGGCAGCAGUAGGGAAUCUUCCGCAAUGGGCGAAAGCCUGACGGAGCAACGCCGCGUGAGUGAUGAAGGUCUUCGGAUCGUAAAACUCUGUUAUUAGGGAAGAACAAAUGUGUAAGUAACUAUGCACGUCUUGACGGUACCUAAUCAGAAAGCCACGGCUAACUACGUG
rnacentral:rRNA from 1 species